rnacentral:rRNA from 1 species
UACGGAAGGGGCAAGCGUUGUUCGGAAUCAUUGGGCGUAAAGGGCGCGUAGGUGGUUCUGUGUGUCUAUCGUGAAAGCGUACGGCUCAACCGUAUUUUGUCGGUAGAAACUGCAGGACUUGAGGCUGGGAGGGGCUGGUGGAAUUCCCUGUGUAGCGGUGAAAUGCGUAGAGAUGGGGGAGAACACUCGUGGCGAAGGCGGCCAGCUAGACCAGUUCUGACACUGAGGCGCGACAGCGUGGGGAGCAAACAGG